AAUAUGAGUGGCUUCGGAUACAUCCGCUGGCCUGGAGGAUAAUGCGUCAGUGGAUGCGGGAGACUUUACUGGACGAGCUUCUAACUCUCGGCUAAUCAAAUAAAGCACAGAUGGUCAUUUAAAGUAUGUGUUGCCUAUCAUUUCAUCAUUGUUCCGGACAGGAAACUCAUGUUCGCUGUUUCCCAACAACUGCAUCUUCUCAGAUACUCUAUUAUUGAUAUGCGUACUACAAUGAAUGCGAUACAUGGAACAAAGCCGAUGGGUUCAACUGAAUUCCUACGUCAAACCGCUGGCAGAUUUACAUAUGCGAUACACACGAGAGCGGUUGGCCAGCGAUUGCUGAUCUAUUUGAGUGGUCAUAGGAGCCAAGGAGUCCUGAGCCAAGGUUAUUCCUUCAACUGAUUGGAUUCCUGUGUUUUCCACUCCCCUUACUUAACUUCGAGAACUCGGAGCAUUCGAAUCGAUUUAUGUUAAAGAGUGCCCCUGGACCGGGCCCAAAUCCCGUGACUUACUGCAGAGAGCCACGCACUUGAGCUGGUAAGAGCGAAAAAGGCUAAGAACAUUGGCAAUUGUGAUAUCUACUGGCAGCAACGACGUGUCGACAGGCAGACAACAGGGCGAUAAGAUAUGCCCCAUCUA